UACGUAGGUGGCAAGCGUUAUCCGGAUUUACUGGGUGUAAAGGGCGCGUAGGCGGGGAUACAAGUCAGAUGUGAAAUCUAGGGGCUCAACUCCUAAACUGCAUUUGAAACUGUAUUUCUUGAGUGAUGGAGAGGCAAGCAGAAUUCCUAGUGUAGCGGUGAAAUGCGUAGAUAUUAGGAGGAAUACCAGUGGCGAAGGCGGCUUGCUGGACAUUAACUGACGCUGAUGCGCGAAAGCGUGGGGAGCAAAC
rnacentral:rRNA from 1 species